AACGAACGCUGGCGGCAAGCCUAACACAUGCAAGUCGAACGAAGCCUUCGGGCUUAGUGGCGCACGGGUGCGUAACGCGUGGGAAUCUGCCCUUUGGUUCGGAAUAACAGUUGGAAACGACUGCUAAUACCGGAUGAUGACGAAAGUCCAAAGAUUUAUCGCCAGAGGAUGAGCCCGCGUAGGAGUAGCUAGUUGGUGUGGUAAAGGCGCACCAAGGCGACGAUCCUUAGCUGGUCUGAGAGGAUGAUCAGCCACACUGGGACUGAGACACGGCCCAGACUCCUACGGGAGGCAGCAGUGGGGAAUAUUGGACAAUGGGCGAAAGCCUGAUCCAGCAAUGCCGCGUGAGUGAUGAAGGCCCUAGGGUUGUAAAGCUCUUUUACCCGGGAUGAUAAUGACAGUACCGGGAGAAUAAGCCCCGGCUAACUCCGUGCCAGCAGCCGCCGUAA
rnacentral:rRNA from 1 species